UACGGAGGGUGCAAGCGUUAUCCGGAUUCACUGGGUUUAAAGGGUGCGUAGGUGGGUUGGUAAGUCAGUGGUGAAAUCCCCGAGCUUAACUUGGGAACUGCCAUUGAUACUAUUAAUCUUGAAUACCGUGGAGGUCAGCGGAAUAUGUCAUGUAGCGGUGAAAUGCUUAGAUAUGACAUAGAACACCAAUUGCGAAGGCAGCUGGCUACGCGAAUAUUGACACUGAUGCACGAAAGCGUGGGGAGCAAACAGG
rnacentral:rRNA from 1 species